UUCUCUCUCGCUGACGCCGUGCAUCCUGAGGGUACCCCCUGGAUCCUGCCGAGGCUGGACCCCAGCACUAUUUAACACUUAUUAAGACUUGGAGCUGAAGAAGCUGGCAACUUGGAAAUGCCAGUGAGCAUGGACAAAAGAAGCCCCAGCAGCCACCUGCUCUCUCCAGCCAAAGGAGCAGCCUAGCAAGACGGAAGCUUCUUAGACAAUAAUUGCUCUUCUCCAGUCAACCACUACAGCGAAUCUGUGGCCCCAUUUCCACCCCUGCCAGUGGCGAGACUAGAUCCCUGCUCUUGUGAGGCUUAUACCAGGAGCCCCAUUCUCUCUGCCAGCAUGGUGUCAGGAAAGGCAGAAUAGAGAGCCAGGACAUUCAUCCAUAGCCCUGGGAGAUAAUGAAGCCUCCUCCCGUGCUGUCAGUGGAGGUCAGCAGACAGCCAUCUGUCACCAAUGGGGUGCCCUUCCCCCAUCCCCACCCCCGGGGAAAGUGUCGAAGGAGGUCUAAUGGGGUGUCAGGAUUUCCCCCACUGCCUGGCAGUAGUGAGGUCCUCUUAUGUCUGCAGCAACAUGUCAGUGAGGCUGUGAGAGGAGCAGUCAUGAAGACCUCCAAGCUGCCCACCCAGAGAGAUAAGAUCACUACUGGCCUAGUGCAGAGUCAAACUCCCACCCACACCCAGCAGUAAAGAGGAGUCCCACCUCAGGGGUCCACGAAGGCCAAAUGGAACCCUGUGCUACUACCCCCAACUAACAGUGAAGAGGUGGUCCCUGCUUCCCCAAUGUCCCCCGCCCUGACACAGUGAUGCCACAGGAAGCCAGAGACAAGGAAGGCUUAAAUAAGAUCAGAGUCUCCUAACAGAGGCUUCCCUGCUCGCUCAGUGGUAAAGAACCCCCUGCCAGUGCAGGAGACGUGGGUUCCAUCCCUGGGUUGGGAAGCUCCCCUGGAGAAGGAAAUGGCAACUCACUCCAGUAUUCUUGCCUGAAGAAUUCCAUGGACAGAGGAGACUGGUGGGUUAUGGUCCAUAAGGAUGCAAAAGAUUUGGACAUGACUUAGAGAUGAAGCAAUGACAACAACAGUUCCUCACAGAAUGCCCCAUAUGUUUUGCUGGAAUCAAUUUUAUUUUAUGGAUUCAAUUUUAAAAAUCGCUCAUCACACCAAGAACAAGGAAGAACUCAAACUAAGUGAAAAAAAGACAAAUCGAUAGAUACCAACACCAAGAUGACAAAGAGGUCAAAUUAUCUGACAAGGAUUUAAAGCAGUCAUCAUAAAGAAGCUUAUUUCACUUAACAAAAUGCCCUCCAGGGAGGCCUUUCUCAGGAAGGAGAGUAAAAAUAAGAAAAUUAGGUCCAUGUGUGCUCAUUUUUUCUUAUUUUUCCUUCUAAUAUCUUAAAGAACUCUUUGACAACUUUCUGAAAUACUGCAUCCGAAGUGUUCCCUAUCAUAAUGAUUAGAAUUUAUCUAAAUCUACUAACUCUUUUAACAGCUUAGAAUGUGUGUUAUAGAGACAGUGGUUGAAAGAUAUUUCACCGUUUCUCAUAUACUGGCUUUUAUUUUAUCAACAACUAAUUUCACACAGUUUCCCUUGCUUAUUUCCCCAAAUCUCUUUUUCUGACCUUUUUUAAUCAAAAAGCAGAAUUUAACUAUAACGUUGUACUCCUGAGAUUUCUGAUCAUAGUGUCAACAAAUUUUCAUCCUUUUGUUGCUGCUGUUACCUCUGUUUAUAUAGAUUAAUUGGUAUCUUUUAUCUUUAAGAAUCUUUGUUAUCACUAAGAAGCUCCUAUUUUCCUUUCUGGUUUUGUAUCUUUUUCCCACAUCUUUCUCAAACUAUAAUCUUGCUUUGUGUUCUCUUUUCUUCUUUAUUUCCAUCUGACAUUUUACCAAUACUUUGUCCCUACACUGGAAACCUAAUAUUAUUUAUUAUUAUUUUUCUUUCUUGCUCUUGUGAAUUGAAAAUGAUAGAUUUCAACAGUAAACUUCUUUCUUUUUCUAAAUUACCUUAGAACUAGAGGUUUCACAUCAAGUGCUUUACACAACAGAAACCUCAAAAUCAAUUUUCUUUUUUCACUAAAAUGAAGGAUGACAGAGCGAUUAUACAAAAUCUUUUUUUCCUAUCCUCAGGUACUUAGAGAGAAGAUCCUUCUGAAAAGGAAUGAAAUUCAGAAAUAUCUGGGACUAACAUGGGGUCUCUACAGAGUCAUGUAUCAUGGAGUCAGCUGGCCAGACACUCUUGUAAUAGAUGAUUUCAGUUCCCCAACCAGCGCCCGUUGUCAGCACUAAAGCGUGUUGGGCAGUGUGUGUCCCAACGAACAGAGUCAGAUGGCAUGAUGGCUAACCAAAGGAAGCAGAGGAGAAGGCAGUCUUGACUCUCUGACAAGGUGGACCAACUCUUCUGAUUUUAAGCAAAUAUAUUAUGUAAUAAUAUUUAAAUAUAAAAUAAUAAUAGAAUUAAUUAUAUGUGAUAACAUUUGUUCUAUUAAAUAGUGUUUGCAUAUAAAGGCAUCAGGACAGUGGGUAGUAUAAAGUAGGCUACUUUCCCCUCUUCUCCUUAAUCAGAAUAACAGUUGAUAUGUUACUUAUAGCCUUCUAGUUGUUGCUUAGUCACUGUCACGUCCAACUCUUUGCGACCCCAUGGACUGCAGCUCGCCAGACUUCCCUGUCCUUUGCCAUCUCCCGGAGUUGACGCAGAUUCAAGGCUAACACCAGUUGAGCUGACAUCAAGAAGUUACUGGCAAUGUUUGGGGAUAAUUUCUACAAUGUACGUACAAAAGAUAUGCUCACAGAAAAAUACGUCUUUGUAACUUGUCUCUUUUUUAUGUUUUCAGUGUUUUGUAUGCUUCACAUAAAAAAAGAGAUUGAUUCUCAAAGACAUUCUGCCUUACAGCACUCUUCCUGAAAUUUUAAGGACAUCUGAACUUGACUGUUUUUAUUUCCCAGAGUUAAACAUAGACUGGGUAUUAGGUUGAGGAUAUCAAGUCACAUUUCUACCCAAAUAGUCAUCUAACUGAUGAGAAACAAGACAAGCAAAUAGGGACAAUACUCAAGAAUUUUUUUUUUAAUGUUAUAUAUUGCGGUUCAUAAUUCACUGUUUUUUUUUAAAAAAAAUUUGUUUAUUUAUUUUUACAUUUUUGGCUGUGCUGGGUCUUUGUUGUUGUGCAUGGGCUUUCUCUAGCUGCUGCUAGCAGGGGCUACGCUUCUUUGAAAUACACAAGCUUCUUAUUGCAAUGGCUUCUCCUGUGAUGGAGCACAGGCUGUAGGCACAGGAACUCAGUCUUUUUGGUGCAUGGGCUGAGUUGCCCCGUAUCAUGUGGAAACUUGCUGGACUUGGGAUCAAAGUCCCCAAGUCCUUGGGGCCCCAAACUUGGGAUCAAACCUGUGUCCCCUUUAUUAGCAGAUGGAUUCUUAACCACUGGGCCACCAAGGAAGUCCCUUGAGAAUUUUUAAAGUUAACAGUUGUCAAGAUUUUUAAAGGUUAUUAAUAUUUUUAUUCCUAUUUUCAAGCAAAUAUUCCCUUAGAAGAAUAGAAACUCCCUCUAUUUCUCCAGCAAACUCAAGUAGAAGCUCUAAGAAAAACAUAUAGCUUAGAACAAAGUGUAGAUCCAAAUAUGAAUCAAAUUAAAUGUGGUAGUGUUCUGAGAAGUUCAUGCAAUGUAAGGAAAGUAGAUCCUUUACAUUCUCUUUGAAGUUGUAGAAGUGUACUGACAGAGGAAUCACAUUCUCUUUUUUCAAUGAAUCACGUUACUUGAUUCUUCAGUGAAUAAUGAUCAUAUACUCACGUACUGUGGGUGAUGUGCUCUGUUUUCACUUUUCAGAAUCAACCUUAAAGGCAAAACAUGUUUAGGUAACAAUGUAUAAGUGUUCUAAUCUAAACCUUGAAAUCUGUAAAUUGAUAUAUAGCUGAUAGAAAUUGAAAGUGGAUACGUGAGAAAGAGGAAAUGGAAGUUCCAAACAGAGAAAAUAGUUGGGAGAAAUCCAUCAAAGAAACAAUAGAAGACAUUUUUCCAAAAUAAAGCACACAUCUCCAGGUUGAAAGACUGGGCUGAUUGCUCAGCUCAAUGAAUGAAAUGUAUGUCCACCAUGAAGCCACAUCAUCGUGAAAUUUCGAAAGCCCAAGGAUAGAGAAAAGAUCCUGAAAGCUUCCAGAUAAAGAGAAAACCACUUUAGAAGUAAGUCAGACAGAGAAGGAGAAAUACUAUAUGACAUCCCUUAUGUGUGGAAUCUAAAAAGAAAUGAUACAAAUGAAUUUACUUACAAAACAGAAAGAGACUCACAGGGUGAGAGAAUGAACUAUGGUUGCCUAUACACACUGCUGUAUUUAAAGUGGAUAACCAACAAGGACCUAUUGUUUAGCACAUGGAACUCUGCUCAA